AGCAGCAGCCGCGGUAAUACGAAGGGGGCUAGCGUUGCUCGGAAUGACUGGGCGUAAAGGGCGCGUAUGCGGCGAUCAAAGUCAGGCGUGAAAUUCCUGGGCUCAACCUGGGGGCUGCGUUUGAUACUUGAUUGCUAGAGUGGGGAAGAGGGUCGUGGAAUUCCCAGUGUAGAGGUGAAAUUCGUAGAUAUUGGGAAGAACACCGGUGGCGAAGGCGGCGACCUGGUCCUUGACUGACGCUGAGGCGCGAAAGCGUGGGGAGCAAACAGGAUUAGAUACCCAGUAGUCCCUGUCUCUUAUACC
rnacentral:rRNA from 1 species